GGGGAAUCUUCCGCAAUGGGCGAAAGCCUGACGGAGCAAGACCGCGUGAGGGAAGAAGGCUCUUGGGUCGUAUACCUCUUUUGUCAGGGAAGAACACAAUGACGGUACCUGACGAAUCAGCCUCGGCUAACUCCGUGCCAGCAGCCGCGGUAAUACGGAGGAGGCAAGCGUUAUCCGGAAUUAUUGGGCGUAAAGCGUCCGUAGGUGGCUAGUCAAGUCUGCGGUCAAAGACUGGGGCUUAACCCUGGAAAGGCCGUGGAAACUGACGAGCUAGAGUGCAGUAGGGGUAGAGGGAAUUCCCGGUGUAGCGGUGAAAUGCGUAGAGCUCGGGAAGAACAUCGGUCGCGAAAGCGCUCUACUGGACUGCAACUGACACUCAGGGACGAAAGCUAGGGGAGCGAAAGGGAUUAGAUACCCCUG
rnacentral:rRNA from 1 species